CUCAGUGAUUUAGUCUGUCGUGAUCUACUCGAUCCCAUUCCGAACUCAAAAGUAAAAGCGACAAAUACUGAUGAUACUCGGUUUUCCGGGGAAAGUAGGUUUCGCUGGGA
rnacentral:rRNA from 1 species